CCCAGACAGGAAACCGUGAUGAAGGGAGUUAACCGGCCAAAUCGUAAAACGAGGAACUUGCCCUUGAUUUUCUUAUCUUUGGGCAGAAAUGUAGUACUUUAGAUUUUCAAAAUAGAUUUCAUCCAAACAGUGUUUUCAUUUCUUUGUUUUUAACCCCAAAUUAGUAAGAGUCAUUUCGGAACAGUUAAUUACUGGGAAUUCUUGUACCUGCUUCUUUUUCAGGUUUUUUUUUGUUGUUGUUCUACUUAAAAACGACCUGCGGAGGGUCGGGACCCCCCAGGGAAUAGCGAGGUGGGGCUGUACUCGGGCCAGCCCGUCUGCCGGCGGGGGUUUCCACUCCCCCCCGCCCCAGGAGCCGGGGCUUCCCGGAAAGCGGUGCACAGCCUCGGGACGCCUUCCCGCUUCCCCACGGGCCUUCAGAAACUCGGAGACAAACACCACGCGUGUUGAGGACGCUCACGUGGUCGCACUUGGAAACAGAGGCAGGCCCCCGGACUCUCAGCGAGCCCCUCCACGGUGCCCGAGGAAGCCAGCAUUUGCCCGCGCCCGCUGGGCCUUGGAGACAGAGGCUGGCGCAGGCCGAGAGAGCAGGCCGGGAAGCACGGGAGACCUGGAGCCACCGGGCGGCGGGGGACCACGCACAGACCGGGAGGUGCCGCGAGUACCGCAGGCCCGGUGGACAGGAUGGAAGAAGUAUCAGGAGCUAAUCGACACUGGAGGGCGUGGGGGCACGGAUGCGGAUGAACCAGGGACUCCAACACCCUGCGGCACCUUUCCCCUACCUGCCAAUUUUACCUGGAAGAGAAGAGGCUGCAAGUGUUUUUGAGAAUAGAAAAGCAAAAAUAACCACUUCUGGAUCCUUUAGGUAAUAGUUUGUAAAUACAAAUGAUUGCGAUGAAUAAAUACGGCCUGUGCGGAGGUCUGGAAGACGGAGCUACGCGGGGUGGGGCAGUAAGAGCAGGGAAGGUGUGUAACUGCCAGGUUUCCUCGGAGAUCACGCCAGCCAUAGGUGCUCAGCAGGGAGACGAACGCACAGUAGCCAGGAGCGCUGGAGGGCUCUGGACAGUGGCGGGGGGUCUGUGAAGCCGAUACCGGCCCGCAGUCAUCCUGGGGGAGUCUGGUCUCGCAGUCCGUGCCGGCUGCAUUGUGUGCUGUGCCUGAUUUCCCUGCCAGUCUGCCUCGACAUGACGGCACCUGGGACGUCCAAGGUGACCUUCGCUGAGAGGGAGUGACUGAGGUCACCGGUGGUCCAGGCAGAUUCUGUGUGACCCCUGCUCCCAUGGCCACACGAUGGAGGGCUGGGGCACUGGAGGGCGCUGUGCAGAGACCACUCCCCAGUCCCAGCCCCGGCACCCACGGCAGAGGACAUGUGACUGCAGGAGCCAAACAGCCAGUUGACAGAGGGCACACACCAGCGAGAUCCCCAAGGCUGGGACGGGAGGCGUGGCUGCCUCUGAGAGUGAGGGGGACGAGAGGUCCUGCUGGAAAAGCCCAGUUCCCGCGGGGCCCUGCUGCAGCCACGGGCUUGUUCUGUGCAGUUGCCCUGUAGCUUUUCAGGAGACCCACUGUGCCUGAGCUAAUUUAAGUGCUUUCUGAUCCUUGCACCCCAACAGUCCUUAAUUACUCAGGCACUGCCUGGAGACUAAUGACACAAGAAAUAGGACAACUUAAAAAAGAUGCAUGAGAAGGUGUUUUCCUCUAGAACUAACAUUUCAAAAUUUUAUUAGUCCUAUUUAUUUACAUUUCUCUUUCUUCAUUGUCAUUUUAAAGACAGCAGGUGUAAGAGUCUUAAUGUUAUGCCGCAUGCAACAGACAUUAAAUAAAUAUUUGUUGAAUAGAUGAAUAGAAUACACUUGAGUUAAAUGUGAACUUAGGAGUUUCCUAUUUGGAAGAGGGCUUAUAAGAAUGUGCUGCCUACAGUACUGAAUUUGGAAUAUAAAUGGAAAAAUCAUGGAAAGUUGAAAAAUAGUAUAUCAUAAAAUAUUUCUGUAUCUUUGGGUGUAAUUUUUAAAGUAUGAGGUUCUGUUUAGUGGUUGUAUUUUAAUCUUUCUGAGUAUUCAUUCUGUCAUUUUGAGCAAUAACUUGAAAGAUACAGCAAUUUGUUUUACUGACAGUUGGAAGCCAAAUAAACAAUGGAAGAGCUAAAACUGGCC
rnacentral:lncRNA from 1 species